AAAUAGAUACCCUGGUAGUCCACGCCGUAAACGAUGAGUGCUAGGUGUUGGGGGGUUCCACCCUCAGUGCUGAAGUUAACACAUUAAGCACUCCGCCUGGGGAGUACGACCGCAAGGUUGAAACUCAAAGGAAUUGACGGGGGCCCGCGACAAGCAGUGGAGCAUGUGGUUUAAUUCGAAGCAACGCGAAGAACCUUACCAGGUCUUGACAUCCUUUGACCACUCUAGAGAUAGAGCUUUCCCCGUUCGGGGGACAAAGUGACAGGUGGUGCAUGGUUGUCGUCAGCUCGUGUCGUGAGAUGUUGGGUUAAGUCCCGCAACGAGCGCAACCCUUGACCUUAGUUGCCAGCAUUCAGUUGGGCACUCUAAGGUGACUGCCGGUGACAAACCGGAGGAAGGUGGGGACGACGUCGAAAUCAUCAUGCCCCUUAUGACCUGGGCUACACACGUGCUACAAUGGAUGAUACAAAGGGUUGCGAAGCCGCGAGGCCAAGCCAAUCCCAAAAAGUCAUUCUCAGUUCGGAUUGUAGG
rnacentral:rRNA from 1 species